UAGUGGACUUCUCGCGACGUC
rnacentral:siRNA from 1 species